rnacentral:lncRNA from 1 species
CGCUUACUUUAACAGGUCGAGAACUCUAGAUUUUCUGACGUCAGAAUAUAUUUGCAUAGUAAUUUCCAAAACACAAGGCCAAUAUGGCCUUGAAAAACUGACCAAUCGACUCAAUGAACUACAAUGCAUUGUGGGCUACUACGAGUAAACAACUACUUAAAACACGUGGAAUUAGUGGGAAAACAGUCAAUUAAUAUAUUGUCUGGGACUUUCAUUACCAAAGUUUUUAUUCUCCAAAUAUAUUUAAUGUAAAAUAUAUAACGUAAUCUUUAAUUUGCAUGCUCAGAUUAAAAAAAUAUUGUUUAUUGGCUUUACGAUUCGACUUUCUUUUUCGCCUUGCAAAAGUAGUUGAACCGGUUUUGUGCAUUGUUAUGAAUUGAAC